rfam:Dipodomys ordii contig_70369, whole genome shotgun sequence.
GGUGGCUCAGUGGUAGAGUGCUUGCCUUUUAGGCAUGAGGCCCUGGGUUCAAUUCCUCAGUACCA